UUGCUAUAUACUGUACAUCUCUAUAAAACAGACACCUAUUAGUUAUUAAGAUUUAAAUAUGUGAAUGAUCUGUUUGGUUUAUCCACCCCUGAACGUGAUCUUCAUAAACCCUCAUGUGUCUCUGAAUGAGUCCUGUAGUUUAAUGAGUUCAAUAUGUACUAAAAUGUCAUGAUCAGAAAGGACUGGAAAGUGCCUGGUAAUGAUGGAGUGAAGCAUGUACAAGGCUUGUUAUGGUGAAUAAGUGCAGACAGUGUAACGUAUUACUGAAUUCACAUUUUUGGGUACUCUGACAAUAUUGGGUUUCAAAAGCCUUUCCUUAAUGUUUUAGUUUAUUGUCAGUGAUAUUAUGUCACAACAAAAAACUCGUCUUGUAGUUUGCAGUUGAUGGAUUUACUAAUAUGUCUCAGAAGUAACAAUAGGAUGUUUUUUGCUUCCCUCAAGGUGAAAAAGAUGGAGUUGAAGGAAUUGAAGACCAUAUUCGAAGAUGCAGCAUAAAAGGUAUUGCAAGACGAGGUUUUUGUCGAAGAAUCUGCCGUCAGAAUGAGGUGAUCCGGGGUGACUGCCAUGGUCGUUUUAGGUGUUGCGUACAGAAACGUGUUUGGUCCAUGGAGUGAGAAUGCAAUGAGUGAAAAAGGAAAUGGAUGAAAUUUUUUGUCUACAGAAUAUACUAGCAACACUGACUGCAUUUUCUUUUGCAAUGCUUAUUUUUUUCUUUUGCUUAAAUCAUUGUCCCUCACUAAAGCAAAGAUUUGUGUGAAAUUAAGUCAGUUUCCAUUAUUGUGUAGUUUAUAACAUAAAAUAUAUAACUAAUACCCAGAUGUUAAUUAGUUUAAACUUAGUUCAUGCCACGUUAAUGGGGCAAAUAAUGACUUUUAAGUAAAAUGACAGUUUUAACUUCUAUUCAUAGAAUUUUAUGGCAAUAAAAAGCACAAUCAGCAUUUCA